GGGUACAUAGUCCAAUGGCAAGACGCUGUUCGAUGCUAGGAUACGGCGCUUGAGACCGGCAGGCCGACAGAGCGUUUACGCUUAGGGUAGUCAGAGACCUACGUUCGAUUCGUGGUGUGCCCC